UGUUGGAUGAUGAGAAAAAUCAGAUGGAUUCCCAUUGAUAUUUUGUUUGACAACAUGUGACAUCAUAUCCACCUACUUCUCACAACA